UUAGAAAAAGCUGAAUGUGAGAUUACAGGUGGUCUGAUAGGAGCACAAAAAGCACAUCAUCAAAAGUUGUCCCCAAGGAAGAGGCAAAGAGACACACAUAAGCGGUCGUACUGAACAUGCACAUGGGAAGAUCUUGAGAGAGAAAAUGCUUACAGGUAUUCCAGGAGGAUCAAUCCUUGGCGCUUUUCUCUUCUUCUUGAUAGUCUUUCCGUGGACACCCGCAUUCAUUCUUUAUUUGAGGGAAGAUUCCCAACUCCAGCGCUGGCCCAC
rnacentral:lncRNA from 1 species